CGCGGCCUAUCAGCUUGUUGGCGGGGUAACGGCCCACCAAGGCGACGACGGGUAGCCGGCCUGAGAGGGUGACCGGCCACACUGGGACUGAGACACGGCCCAGACUCCUACGGGAGGCAGCAGUGGGGAAUAUUGCACAAUGGGCGAAAGCCUGAUGCAGCGACGCCGCGUGAGGGAUGACGGCCUUCGGGUUGUAAACCUCUUUCAGUAGGGAAGAAGCGAAAGUGACGGUACCUGCAGAAGAAGCGCCGGCUAACUACGUGCCAGCAGCCGCGGUAAUACGUAGGGCGCAAGCGUUAUCCGGAAUUAUUGGGCGUAAAGAGCUCGUAGGCGGUUUGUCGCGUCUGCCGUGAAAGUCCGGGGCUCAACCCCGGAUCUGCGGUGGGUACGGGCAGACUAGAGUGAUGUAGGGGAGACUGGAAUUCCUGGUGUAGCGGUGAAAUGCGCAGAUAUCAGGAGGAACACCGAUGGCGAAGGCAGGUCUCUGGGCAUUAACUGACGCUGAGGAGCGAAAGCAUGGGGAGCGAACAGGAUUAGAUACCCUGGUAGUCCAUGCCGUAAACGUUGGGCACUAGGUGUGGGGGACAUUCCACGUUUUCCGCGCCGUAGCUAACGCAUUAAGUGCCCCGCCUGGGGAGUACGG
rnacentral:rRNA from 1 species